AGCCUACGGGACGCAGCAGUAGGGAAUCUUCCACAAUGGGCGAAAGCCUGAUGGAGCAACGCCGCGUGGGUGAAGAAGGUCUUCGGAUCGUAAAACCCUGUUGUUAGAGAAGAAAGUGCGUGAGAGUAACUGUUCACGUUUCGACGGUAUCUAACCAGAAAGCCACGGCUAACUACGUGCCAGCAGCCGCGGUAAUACGUAGGUGGCAAGCGUUAUCCGGAUUUAUUGGGCGUAAUGCGAGUGCAGGCGGUUCAAUAAGUCUGAUGUGAAAGCCUUCGGCCCA
rnacentral:rRNA from 1 species